rnacentral:rRNA from 1 species
UAAUACGUAGGCAGCGAGCGUUGUUCGGAGUUACUGGGCGUAAAGCGUGCGUAGGCGGUGGUGCAAGUCUGUUGUGAAAUCUCCCGGCUCAACCGGGAGGGUGCGGCGGAAACUGUGCUGCUGGAGUACGGGAGAGGCAGGCGGAAUUCCUGGUGUAGCGGUGAAAUGCGUAGAUAUCAGGAGGAACACCCGUGGUGUAGACGGCCUGCUGGACCGUAACUGACGCUGAGGCACGAAAGCGUGGGGAGCAAACAGGAUUAGAUACCCUGGUAGUCCACGCCCUAAACGAUGCACAUUUGGUGUGGGCAGUUCAGUCUGUCCGUGCCGAAGCUAACGCGAUAAAUGUGCCGCCUGGGGAGUACGGUCGCAAGGCUG